CAGGCCUAUUAAGUUAAUAGGAAACUCAAGGGUGCAGGCAGCGUAGAUGUGGAGGUGAGGCAAGGCUUGACAUCUGCAGCAUUGAACUCCAGAGAAUCUCCUUUCAAAUUGUCAGAAAUCAUAAACAUGAUAAUAGCAGCAAUCAUUUAUUAAUCCCCUGCCCUGUGCCAACCCCUGUCCUGAGCUCUUCUUUGUGCAACCAUCCCAACAGGGCUACCAAGUGGGGACUGUGUGAAUCCCUUUUUCACACAUGAAGACUCCAACAGACAAGUGGAUCUCAGCCCAAGGCCUCAAGAAGCGCCAGGCAUCAGGCCACAUUCAUUUGUCUUCAGAGCCUGCAAGCUUCAUCAUCACGCUGAGCACACCGAGCCCUCUCCAGAGAGACAGAGAAACUUGGAGGGAGAUAUUGAAAUCCAAGGACACUAGACACCACAAGACAGCCACUUUGGAGAAUGAGACAGAGACCCCAAAAGAAAGGUAGGUCUCUGGGUAGUACUGGGAUCCCAGGCCAGUCUGGAAACCAGAGGAAUUUACAAGACCUCAGACGCAGGCACCCAAGUAAGCACAGGUUUCCUGGGUCAACCCAGAGUUUUCUGCCAUCUGAUAAGUGAGGAAAUACAAGAGCAGGUAAAACUCAAGAGGACCGGUUAGGCACCAGGGCCUUGAGGAAGCCAACCAGCAGGUGGCUGGGUUCAGACACACAGUUAACGUUGAGUGGCAGGAGGAGUGUGCAUUCUGUGCAGCUGAGCAGGAGCUGAAACUGAGGCACAAGGCCAGUGCAGUCCUAGCAAGACUGACUUGCUUUUGAGUCCCAUAGCAAUGAUCUGGAGCUGCUCAUUAGUCUAUUCUGUCACAAGUCAGGACUGACCAAGAGCCCUUAUUGACAUGGCUUAGAACCUACCAGGGAGCUGGUUAAACACACAAAUGUCCUCUCCCCAUGCUAUGAGAUUCCAAAACUGUAGACUGAAGUUAGGAAAUCUCCAUUCUGACUCACAACAAAGUUUGGAAAUCACUAUCCCAUAUACUGGGACUGAGCUUAUCUUGCAGGUUAUGAAGAGGCUUCAGCUGUUCAGGAGCCAGGGUCUGGCCAGGCUUGGCAUAUGGCCCAAAGCCCCUAAGGCAUGAGGAAGCUGGUAAACCCACAGCAUCUUCCAAGACAUUAAGGGGUUAAGAAAAGUGCUGGGGACCUGCAUACUUUUAUUACAUUAUAGGGAUGUUAUUGCAUUAUAAAUAAUGCCACAGGAUGCAUUAUUUAUACAUUUAAUAUCAGGCUUGCUUAUAAGUCAGAUCUCUUCACUUUUAGAUAAAUACUCAUCUGCAACCCACCUCCAGCAGCCAUGCACAGACAGGAAAGUGGAGAGGCACCACGCUCCUGCUCUCUCAGACAGCAGAGGGAGGGCAGACACAUGACAGAGACAGCAAAAAUCCUGUGAU
rnacentral:lncRNA from 1 species